GAAGCUUGGUGCUUGCACCGAGCGGAUGAGUCGCGAACGGGUGAGUAACGCGUAGGUAACCUGCCUGGUAGCGGGGGAUAACUAUUGGAAACGAUAGCUAAUACCGCAUAACAGUCGACAUUGCAUGAUGUUGAUUUGAAAGGGGCAAUUGCUCCACUACCAGAUGGACCUGCGUUGUAUUAGCUAGUUGGUGAGGUAACGGCUCACCAAGGCGACGAUACAUAGCCGACCUGAGAGGGUGAUCGGCCACACUGGGACUGAGACACGGCCCAGACUCCUACGGGAGGCAGCAGUAGGGAAUCUUCGGCAAUGGACGGAAGUCUGACCGAGCAACGCCGCGUGAGUGAAGAAGGUUUUCGGAUCGUAAAGCUCUGUUGUAAGAGAAGAACGAGUGUGAGAGUGGAAAGUUCACACUGUGACGGUAACUUACCAGAAAGGGACGGCUAACUACGUGCCAGCAGCCGCGGUAAUACGUAGGUCCCGAGCGUUAUCCGGAUUUAUUGGGCGUAAAGCGAGCGCAGGCGGUUAGAUAAGUCUGAAGUUAAAGGCUGUGGCUUAACCAUAGUACGCUUUGGAAACUGUUUAACUUGAGUGCAGAAGGGGAGAGUGGAAUUCCAUGUGUAGCGGUGAAAUGCGUAGAUAUAUGGAGGAACACCGGUGGCGAAAGCGGCUCUCUGGUCUGUAACUGACGCUGAGGCUCGAAAGCGUGGGGAG
rnacentral:rRNA from 1 species